GAGUUUGAUCCUGGCUCAGGACGAACGCUGGCGGCGCGCCUAACACAUGCAAGUCGAACGGAGCUGAGAGGAGCUUGCUUUUCUCAGCUUAGUGGCGAACGGGUGAGUAACGCGUGAGUAACCUGCCCUGGAGUGGGGGACAACAGUUGGAAACGACUGCUAAUACCGCAUAAGCCCACGGCCCGGCAUCGGGCUGAGGGAAAAGGAUUUAUUCGCUUCAGGAUGGACUCGCGUCCAAUUAGCUAGCUGGUGAGGUAACGGCCCACCAAGGCGACGAUUGGUAGCCGGACUGAGAGGUUGAACGGCCACAUUGGGACUGAGACACGGCCCAGACUCCUACGGGAGGCAGCAGUGGGGGAUAUUGCACAAUGGGGGAAACCCUGAUGCAGCGACGCCGCGUGGAGGAAGAAGGUUUUCGGAUUGUAAACUCCUGUCGUUAGGGACGAUAAUGACGGUACCUAACAAGAAAGCACCGGCUAACUACGUGCCAGCCGCCGCGGUAAUAC
rnacentral:rRNA from 1 species